ACCAGCAGCCAUAUCACUGGAACUCACAACUGGGAACCCACUGAAGCUCACCAGGUGUGAGCCUGGUCAGUACCUGAAUGGGAGACCUCCUGGGAAAAGCUAAGGUUGCUGCUGGAA
rnacentral:rRNA from 1 species